UAGGGAAUUUUCGUCAAUGGGCGCAAGCCUGAACGAGCAAUGCCGCGUGAGCGAAGAAGGUCUUCGGAUCGUAAAACUCUGUUGCGGGGGAAAAAUGGAAGGAAAGAGGAAAUGCUUUUUCUUUUGAUGGUACCCCGCCAGAAAGUCACGGCUAACUACGUGCCAGCAGCCGCGGUAAUACGUAGGUGGCAAGCGUUAUCCGGAAUGAUUGGGCGUAAAGGGUGCGCAGGCUGCGCGUCAAGUCUGAAGUGAAAGGUACGGGCUUAACCGGUACAGGCUUUGGAAACUGGCACGCUAGAGGACAGGAGAGGGCGGUGGAACUCCAUGGGUAGCGGUAAAAGUGCGUAGAUAUCACGAAGAACUCCGAUUGCGAAGGCAGCCUGCUAAGCUGCAACUGACAUUGAGGCUCGAAAGUGUGGGUAUCAAACAGGAUUAGAUACC
rnacentral:rRNA from 1 species